rnacentral:rRNA from 1 species
GACGAACGCUGGCGGCGUGCCAAAUACAUGCAAGUAGAACGCUGAAGAGAGGAGCUUGCUCUUCUUGGAUGAGUUGCGAACGGGUGAGUAACGCGUAGGUAACCUGCCUUGUAGCGGGGGAUAACUAUUGGAAACGAUAGCUAAUACCGCAUAACAAUGGAUGACACAUGUCAUUUAUUUGAAAGGGGCAAUUGCUCCACUACAAGAUGGACCUGCGUUGUAUUAGCUAGUAGGUGAGGUAAUGGCUCACCUAGGCGACGAUACAUAGCCGACCUGAGAGGGUGAUCGGCCACACUGGGACUGAGACACGGCCCAGACUCCUACGGGAGGCAGCAGUAGGGAAUCUUCGGCAAUGGGGGCAACCCUGACCGAGCAACGCCGCGUGAGUGAAGAAGGUUUUCGGAUCGUAAAGCUCUGUUGUAAGUCAAGAACGGGUGUGAGAGUGGAAAGUUCACACUGUGACGGUAGCUUACCAGAAAGGGACGGCUAACUACGUG